GAUAUAUAUGUUUGCGACUUAAUCUGACAUGAUUGGCGGCCAAGUGGGCUACUGGCAUUUCCAGAGAGUAGCAAGGUUAUCUCUGAAGACAACAGUGUGACGCAGCCGAAACAGAUUAUUGAAGGUGAAGGACAGCUUCACUUGCUCGUGAUCCCUUCUGCCCUUCGGGUCGAUGGUGAUGUUAUCAUCAGCCCACUUAGCUGCGGGAAUUGCUCGAAUGUGGGUAGUCAUGACACACAUGAGGAGCGGAGGUGCAUGCUUUACUUGGAGAAUUAUCCCUCACAGGACAAACCGUAAGGAAGCUGUCAGAAUGCUGAGAUCCAUCCAAUGGCAAAGCAACAGGUUCAGUAAUGAGCCACUCCCUGCUGAGCCUACCUUUGGGUGGGGGGGGACAAAGAUUCACACUGAAAGCCAGGUGGAUCAUUAUUGUGGCUCUGAGGUCACCAGGUCAAUCAGUCAAACUGCCAAACCUGGUAUCUAUGUGGUGUCAGGAGUGAUGACAAAUAAGCAACCACUGACACAUGAGCAUCCGCUGGUUUAUCCGAUACAACAUGAUGAUGUUGAUGAUGCAAUCGGAGCAUGCAGCCCAGCUGCUUGACAAUAUGACUGAAUCAGAUCAAUGUUUUUGCAAUGACUUGAGCAUGAGCUAAUCUUGCACAAGGAGGAGCAGCAACCUUCCAUGUCCCAGAGCAACUUGACUGAGCCAACUUUUGCGCCGAUACCAGAAAGUUUCUGCUUGCCCUUGUCAGCUUGUGACUGUCUAGUAGGAUUUACAGGCUUCUGAAUUGAGAGUUAUUAUGCAGCAAGGACUUGGAUUGUUCUGUCCACCCCACUCAUUCCAUUAUUGCAGUCACUAGGACAAUUGUCAGCCUACAAGGUGGCACAUUCUGAACAAGCAUUGAAGAGCGGUGCAGGACCAUCGGCUGGCUGCUUGCCUGCAGCAGCGGUGUGCAUCACCUUUAAAGUUUCAUUGAGUUGGAUCCCAGCUAUAGGGGUGAUGGUCCCAAGAGUCUCCAACACGUAGGCCUUGCUUGUGCAUCGGCACCACACUCCCAGUGAACUCGGAUGAUUGUGCCGGCCGUAUCGGUAGGAGGGGAGGACCACCGGCCUUGAAGGUGAACACAGGGUUGAGCCAGCAUUGAAGCGGAGUGCGGCAGCAGGCUGCAUCUCUUGCACUGGUGUGUACCUUCAAAAGCUCCACAUAUUUGGAUUCUAGCUGAGCAUGAUGGUCCCAAAGGUCUCCUGCUCCGAGGAGGAGAGGGUGACCUUGUUCAAAUGGAUUCAUUGAUCCUGGCCAAACUUGUAGGUGAGCUCCAGGUAUUCACUUACUUUAAUCCGAGAGAUACUCCGUGAUUCCACCAUAAUUAUAUCUAUCGGCAGAUCUUUCGAUGUGGAACAGCAAGAUCAAAGCUUGGGUCGUGAGUUGCUCGGCUCCCAACAUUGGUCACCCUGCUCGCAUGGAGUUGUCAGUCUCAUCUACACGGCUCAGUGUUUGCGAGAGAAAUGACCAACAAAUGGGUUCUUGAACGGAAACGAGAUGUAUAAAAUGCUGCUGUUGUCAUGGCUGGAACAUCAAAAACCAUGCAGUCGGUAUCUUCUGCAGGUUUAGACUACUAGAAGACUCGUCUCGGAGAAUGUUAUAAUGAGCAUAUGGAGGGGGAAAAGGACAGUGUGUGGCCAAGUACGAGGCGGCUUGAAGCCUUCUUCGACGGACAAAUUAAUAGGUCGAUGAGCUUUCGCGGCUCACGAGUGGCGGAGGGGGAUAGGUUUAUUUGGGAAGACCAGGAACCAAAGACGACGACUGUGACUCUUCUUCGAGGCUGUUGGACGAGAUGACUUAUCACAAUUGUCUGCAGUCAAGCUGAAACACUUUCUACGGUCCGCGGGAAACUGUGCAAGUGUUCAUCCCUGAGCUUACGGCCAAUGAAAUGAAGUGAUGAGUCGGCGUCUCUGAGCCCGUGAAUGACAAAGCUACAGGAUAAUUAUGAUUACACCUCUCUCUCUCUCUCUCUCUCCCCGCGAUGCAGAGGACCACCACGGCAACUUCCUUCUAUGUGCGCACAAAGUUCCGGAGUUCCCACCUUCACCAGAAUGAAUCGCAUAAUGGAAGCUCUGGUUUAGGGGGUCUUCAAGAUGGGCUGCAGAGCUCUGGUACAACACGGUUGGAUCCAUCAUCCCUGAUUUCAUGCUUCAUCGGUUCUCAGGUUGGCUUUCGAUGUCAAUAAAUUAUAGGAUUUACAUAAAUAAAGGAACAUCAAUUCUUUUUUCUUAGGGAAUAUCAAAUCUCGUUAAUCAUCAUAAUCAAUGGGUAUUAAUUUUUUUUUUUU